UACGGAGGGGGCUAGCGUUGUUCGGAAUUACUGGGCGUAAAGCGCACGUAGGCGGCUUUGUAAGUUAGAGGUGAAAGCCCGGGGCUCAACUCCGGAAUUGCCUUUAAGACUGCAUCGCUAGAAUUGUGGAGAGGUAAGUGGAAUUCCGAGUGUAGAGGUGAAAUUCGUAGAUAUUCGGAAGAACACCAGUGGCGAAGGCGACUCGCUGGACAAGUAUUGACGCUGAGGUGCGAAAGCGUGGGGAGCAAACAGG
rnacentral:rRNA from 1 species